rnacentral:rRNA from 1 species
UGGGGAAUAUUGCACAAUGGGCGAAAGCCUGAUGCAGCGACGCCGCGUGAGGGAUGACGGCCUUCGGGUUGUAAACCUCUUUCAGCAGGGAAGAAGCGAAAGUGACGGUACCUGCAGAAGAAGCGCCGGCUAACUACGUGCCAGCAGCCGCGGUAAUACGUAGGGCGCAAGCGUUGUCCGGAAUUAUUGGGCGUAAAGAGCUCGUAGGCGGUUAGUCGCGUCUGCUGUGAAAACUCGAGGCUCAACCUCGGGCUUGCAGUGGGUACGGGCUGACUAGAGUGCGGUAGGGGUGACUGGAAUUCCUGGUGUAGCGGUGGAAUGCGCAGAUAUCAGGAGGAACACCGAUGGCGAAGGCAGGUCACUGGGCCGCAACUGACGCUGAGGAGCGAAAGCAUGGGGAGCGAACAGGAUUAGAUACCCUGGUAGCCCAUGCCGUAAACGUUGGGCACUAGGUGUGGGGGUCCAUUCCACGGAUUCCGUGCCGCAGCAAAGCGCAUUAAGCGCCCCGCCUGGGGAGUACGGCCGCAAGGCUAAAACUUAAAGG